rnacentral:rRNA from 1 species
UCAUUAAAUCAGUUAUGGUUCCUUAGAUAAUACACCAAGUUACUUGGAUAACUGUGGUAAUUCUAGAGCUAAUACAUGCAAACAGAGUUCCGACUCGAGAGGGAAGGAACGCUUUUAUUAGAUCAAAACCAAUCGGCGUUUCGGGCGCGGCGGGUCAAACCGUCCGCGUCUUGGCGUCGCAUUUAAGUUUGGUGACUCUGAAUAACUACUAAGCAGAUCGCACGGUCUCGCACCGGCGACGCAUCUUUCAAAUGUCUGCCUUAUCAACUGUCGAUGGUAGGUUCUGCGCCUACCAUGGUUGUAACGGGUAACGGGGAAUCAGGGUUCGAUUCCGGAGAGGGAGCCUGAGAAACGGCUACCACAUCCAAGGAAGGCAGCAGGCGCGCAAAUUACCCACUCCCGGCACGGGGAGGUAGUGACGAAAAAUAACGAUACGGGACUCAUCCGAGGCCCCGUAAUCGGAAUGAGCACAACUUAAAUACUUUAACGAGUAUCCAUUGGAGGGCAAGUCUGGUGCCAGCAGCCGCGGUAAUUCCAGCUCCAAUAGCGUAUAUUAAAGUUGUUGCGGUUAAAAAGCUCGUAGUUGGACUUGUGUCCCACGCCGUCGGUUCGUCGCCCGUCGACGUAACCGCACGGUUCAUUGACAAGUGGGACGUCCAGCCGGUGAGGCGCUGGCGCCCCGCGGGUUCAACGCGGCGCGACGCGUCGCGGCGCGUCGGCGAAAGCCGGCGUCCGCGCGCGCCCUCCGCCGCGCUCCCCGCUCGCGCGUACCGGCCUCAUGUUAACUCGUCUCGGUGCUCUUAAUCGAGUGUCUUGACGGGCCGGCUCGUUUACUUUGAACAAAUUAGAGUGCUUAAAGCAGGCUUGUUACGCUUGAAUAUUGUGUGCAUGGAAUAAUGGAAUAGGAUCUCGGUUCUAUUUUGUUGGUUUUCUGAACCAGAGAUAAUGAUUAAUAGAGACUGACGGGGGCAUUCGUAUUGCGACGUUAGAGGUGAAAUUCUUGGAUCGUCGCAAGACGGACCGAAGCGAAAGCGUUUGCCAAGAACGUUUUCUUUAAUCAAGAACGAAAGUUAGAGGUUCGAAGGCGAUCAGAUACCGCCCUAGUUCUAACCAUAAACGAUGCCAACUAGCGAUCCGCCGGCGUUCCUCCGAUGACCCGGCGGGCAGCUUCCGGGAAACCAAAGUGUUUGGGUUCCGGGGGAAGUAUGGUUGCAAAGCUGAAACUUAAAGGAAUUGACGGAAGGGCACCACCAGGAGUGGAGCCUGCGGCUUAAUUUGACUCAACACGGGAAACCUCACCAGGCCCGGACACUGGAAGGAUUGACAGAUUGAUAGCUCUUUCUUGAUUCAGUGGGUGGUGGUGCAUGGCCGUUCUUAGUUGGUGGAGCGAUUUGUCUGGUUAAUUCCGAUAACGAACGAGACUCUGGCCUGCUAACUAGUCGCGCAACGCAAACGACAUCCGCAUUCGUGCUGUCGGCGACCAUAAUUAAAAACUCUUCUUAGAGGGACAGGCGGCUUCUAGCCGCACGAGAUUGAGCAAUAACAGGUCUGUGAUGCCCUUAGAUGUUCUGGGCAGCACGCGCGCUACACUGAAGGGAUCAACGUGUUUACUAACUCCUUGGCCGAGAGGUCCGGGUAACCCGCUGAACCCCCUUCGUGCUAGGGAUUGGGGCUUGCAAUUGUUCCCCAUGAACGAGGAAUUCCCAGUAAGCGCGAGUCAUAAGCUCGCGUUGAUUACGUCCCUGCCCUUUGUACACACCGCCCGUCGCUACUACCGAUUGAAUGAUUUAGUGAGGUCUUCGGACCGUCGCGCGGCACGCGCGCCACGUUAAAACUGGCCGCGCGUCGAUGUCAACGGAAAGAUGAUCAAACUUGAUUAUUUAGAGGAAGUAAAAGUCGUAACAAGGUUUCCGUAGGUGAACCUGCGGAAGGAUCAA